rnacentral:rRNA from 1 species
AAUCAACGCUGGCGGCGUGCCUCAGACAUGCAAGUCGAACGAUUAAAGCUCUCUUCGGAGAGUGUAUAGAGUGGCGCACGGGUGAGUAACACGUAAGUAAUCUACCUUCGAGUGGGGAAUAACGUCCGGAAACGGACGCUAAUACCGCAUAAUGCAGCGGCAUCGCAAGAUGACAGUUGUUAAAGAUUUAUCGCUUGAAGAGGAGCUUGCGGCAGAUUAGCUAGUUGGUAAGGUAACGGCUUACCAAGGCUACGAUCUGUAUCCGGUCUAAGAGGACGGUCGGACACACUGACACUGAAUAACGGGUCAGACUCCUACGGGAGGCAGCAGUCGGGAAUUUUGGGCAAUGGGCGAAAGCCUGACCCAGCAACGCCGCGUGAAGGAUGAAGUAUUUCGGUAUGUAAACUUCGAAAGAAUAGGAAGAAUUAAUGACGGUACUAUUUAUAAGGUCCGGCUAACUACGUGCCAGCCGCCGCCGUAAC